rfam:Rattus norvegicus chromosome 1, whole genome shotgun sequence.
CACACGGCCCCUUUUGAGGGAUGGGGCCACCCAUUCACCUCAAAAAUAUCAAU